AAAACAUGGCUCCUUGUAAGAUAUAAAUAAGGAGUCGGACCUGCCCAGUGAAUUUUUCAACGGCCGCGGUACUCUGACCGUGCAAAGGUAGCAUAAUCAUUUGCCUUAUAAUUGAAGGCUUGUAUGAAUGGUUUGACAAGAAUAUAGCUGUCUCUUUAUAAUUAAAUAGAAUUUUAUUUAUAGGUGAAGAAGCCUAUAUAGUAUUGAAAGACAAGAAGACCCUAUCGAGCUUGAAAGAAGUUAAUAAAUUUUACUAUUUAAUAUAAUAUAAAAAAUUAAUUAUUAAAAAUUUUGGUUGGGGCGACUAAGGAACAAACAAAGCUUCCUUUAUUUUAGUAAUACAACCAAGUGAGGAGCCAAAAGCUUUGAUUAAAGGAAUUAGUUACCGUAGGGAUAACAGCAUUAUCUUUUUUGAGAGCUCUAAUCGAAAAAAAGGUUUGUGACCUCGAUGUUGGACCAGAAUAUCCUAAAGAUGCAGCCGUCUUUAAGGGUUGGUCUGUUCGACCAUUAAAAUUCUACGUGAUCUGAGUUCAGACCGGCGUGAGCCAGGUCAGUUUCUAUCUUCAAUUUUUAAAAUAAGUUUAGUACGAAAGGACCAAUUUAUUACAAAAUAUUUGUUUUAUUUAGAUGAAAUAUAAAGAAAAAUUAAAUAAAUUAUAAACAUAAUCAGAUUAGCAAAGAUAAUGCAAUUGACUUAGGAUCAAUAGACACAGGUGAAACUCCUUUAUUUGAUAAAAUAUAAAGAUGGCAGAUUAAGUGCAUUAGGUUUAACCCCCUAAAUAAA
rnacentral:rRNA from 1 species